rnacentral:lncRNA from 1 species
UUUUUUAAUUCUUCAUCUUCUACCUCGAGACGGGUCAUAAAGACCCGACUGAAAACCCACGCAACCCGGAAUAUAAAAACCAUAACUUUAUGCCUUUUUUUACACUGAAAACUCAAUUUGAACACAGAAUCAUAAACCAAAUUACAUAUCCUUGUGAUUUCAAUCCAAUUUCUUCAUCUUUAAACACAACAAGUGAAAAAAAAAAAUUAAUUUCAACAAAAUAUACUUAAAAUUGGAGAUAACGAAAUUGCAAGCUAGAGGUUAACAAAGAUCCGACAACAAAUGUUAGAAUUCCUCCACAACAUGUUGCCAAAAGAUUAUAAUCUAAAUCUAUGAAGAAGUAUGGGAAACCCAUCCACAACAUGCAUUCUGUUAACAUUCGUUGCUUUUCCGUUGAUCUUGAAUAUGUCUUUGUUGCUGUAAACCAGAACUAUGUCGUCGAACUUAUAGAAAUUUUGUUUGAUGUAACGCCGGUGAGCGGUGCCGGAGAGGUCGCCGGCGAUGGGGAGUGAGGAAGAAAGAAGUUUGGAUCUUAAAAUAUCGGGUUAAAUAUGUUUUUGGUCCCUAUAAAUAUACCAACUUUUCGUUUUAGCCCUCUAAAAUUUUCCUUCAACUUUUAGUCCCUAUAAAAUUUUCAAUCUUCACUUUUGGUCCCUCGUUUAAAGUAAACUCAUAUGUAAAAUACAUAUUUUAUAGAAUUUUGCAGAAAAAUGUAUAAUAUUAUAAGGAUCACUCCCAAAAUAAAUUAGAAUUUUUUACCAUAACAUGAAUUAAAUAUGAAUUUUUAUAUUUUUGAUGGUAAAAAAUUCAUAUUGAAUUCAUGUUUUGUUAAAAAAUUCUAUUUUUUUUUUUGGAGUGAUUUUUACAAUAUUCUAUACAUUUCUGACCAAUUUCAUUAAAAAAUACAAAAAUUUACUUAAAAAUAGGGACCAAAACUAGUGAUUAAGAAUUUUAUAGAGACUAAAAGUUGAAGGAAAAUUUUAGAGGGACUAAAACGAAAAGUUGACAUAUUUAUAGGAACCAAAAACAUAUUUAACCCUAAAAUAUUUGAGCGUGGGACAAUAAUGAGUUGCUAUGUUUUUGUUGGGAUGUGUUAGAGUGUGGAGAGAUGUUUGUG